UACGGCGAUAUCCCUUGACAACACUGGUUCUCGUUCGAUCACCGAAGUUAAGCAACGUCGAGACUGGUCAAUACCUAGAUUGGCGAUCGCUUUGGAAUACCAGGUGCUGUAGG